UGCAGAGGUCCCAAGCGUUGUUCGGAUUCACUGGGCGUAAAGGGUGCGUAGGUGGUCGGGUAAGUCUGAUGUGAAAUCUCGGAGCCUAACUCCGAAACUGCAUUGGAUACUAUUCGGCUUGAGGAAUGGAGGGGAGACUGGAAUGCUCGGUGUAGCAGUGAAAUGCGUAGAUAUCGAGCGGAACACCAGUGGCGAAGGCGAGUCUCUGGACAUUUCCUGACACUGAGGCACGAAAGCCAGGGGAGCAAACGGG
rnacentral:rRNA from 1 species